rnacentral:tRNA from 1 species
GGUCUUCUAGUUUAACAAGAACAUUCGAUUUGCAUUCGAAAAGUGGAAGAACUUUUCCGUAUACCA